AUGUCCACACCCAGGAUCUGAACCCAUGAACCCCGGGCCACCGAGAAGUGGAACGUGAGAACUUAACCGCUGCACCACCGGACCGGCCCCUGUGUUUGCUUUUCAUCCUCAGCACCUAAAACAUCAUGUGUACCUGGCAAAAAUUAUUUACCCUUGUAGAGACUUUGCUUUCAAAACAGAUCUGCAGAGUUUUGCCAUGUUGGAGUAGACAAUGUGAGCCUCUAGGACUCCACUGGACACUUGACAUGACCAUCCCCAGCUGAAGCUCUAGAGCAUCUGCACCACGCUUAUCUUUCAGUGGACACUGCUAACCUGUAGACUCAGAGGACAAGGACCUACCUCCUCUACGUUUGUCCCUAGCACCUAGUACAACGUACAGUUGUGGAACUGAAUCAUAAACAGAUUUUUGUCUCAAUUCGUCAUCUCUCACAUACAAGUCUAGCCGUAAGAGCGCAAGAAGGGGAGAAUUUCCCGCACUCCGACAGUUUCGGUGACCCAGCCAGGAGAAUCACCAGCUGAGAAACUGCUUUCUCCCCGAGGCUGCUGCAGCUAAAAGAUCCUGGACAUCUACACAAGCCAUCAAGAAGGUAAGCCUUCUUACCAUGUCAGCCUCCCAGAUCUCUGUCUGCAGAGUCUGAUGGGAAUGAAAGGGGCGCGAAUUUCUUUUUCUCUAAAUUUAGAUUAGCAGGAGAAAAUAUUUGUGAAACUCGUUUUGUGGACGAGUACUCUUGAUUUUGCUGAUCUUCUCCUCCAGAGAUGAUCUUCAGUCUCCACAGCUGGAGGAUGCACCUGCAUCUGGCACGCAACCAAGUAGACGGUGGGUCCAAGCUCGGGGAAUCUAAACACCCUAUUCUGUUCAAAAAUGGAAAAAUGUGCUUUCCUGUGUUUUGGAAUAGCUGCUUAAAACAGGGCCCCUCAUGGUUCUCAGGCUAACUCUGGCAGGGGACUCUCUGGAUGUGGUGAGGACGGCAUCCUUCAUGCUCUCCUUUGGGGACACCUCUUGCUUCCAUGGUUAAGCCAUUAAAAGGCUUGUUGAUAGACGAGCUGAGAGCACAUAAUGAGUUUUAGAGAUCUUCACUUUGGGUCAGAUCCUUGGAGAACUGAGCUGUAAACGUUAAGGCUCCAGCCUUCCUUGGCUAAUGAUUGUGUAAGUUGUAAGAGUUCUUUCAUCUCUUAAGUGUUUUCCUUGUAUUUUGAAAUGUUAUCUUUUUUCUAAUGAUAAGGUAGCCUGGACCACAGCAUCUGGUAAUAAGUUGUAAAAACAUGACAUUUUUGUUGUUCAAAGUUUUCAAAUAGCAAAUAUUUAGUUCUGAAUAGGUUUUAUUCCAAUAAAAAUAACAUGCAUUUUCUUUAAGGCCAAAGGACAAGGAAAAAAAGCCUUUUAAUGCAGUUUCUUAUAAUGUAUAUGAAACAGCAUUCACACAUUCAGCAUCUGUUAAGUAUCAUACUGUGUGCCAGGCCUGUGCUGGUGCCAUAAAUAAAAAGAUUCCUUCAGCAGGAAAAAAAAAAAAAAAGGCUUAUUGGUUUGAGUCACUGUUAAGAUGCUAAUCCUACUUGUCAAUGGACAAAUGAUGGAUCCUUUAAACUAGAAAAACUUCUAAGUUGGAAAAAAAUUUUUUUAGAGAGCACUCAUAUUGGUAUAAUGGCUAGCAUUGAGACUCACUUAAGAGGGAAAGACAGAAAUUAGGACAGAAACCAAAGUCCACUCAGACCCCUUAUUUACCUGCAGACAUUUGCAGAUAUUGUAAAAAACAAACAAACAAACAAAACAACACAUCAGGACAUUGGAAGUACAACUGUCCAUCACUUCAGAAAAAGGGAAAGUAUAUAACAGCUAGACUUUGGGGCUCCCUAACAAGAUGAGAGAACAAAACAUUUAUAUUUAGUACAAAAACCCAACGUAAAAUCUCUUUCUUAAAAUCCGGGCCCAUCUGCCUAUUUUAGCUUCCUUUGCCUUCAAGAUUUACAGAGAGCACCCCAGCCUAAUCUCUACGAGUACAUAGGUUACUCACGUAAAUAGAAAAAGCCAGAAAAUGAAUUUAACAGAAGCACCCAGGGCUGGCAGUAAAGCUCGCUUUGCUGGGCUCUAUAAUCAGGGUCUGCCAGCUUCAGGCCUUCCUGUGUAAUAUCCUUUGCUGAUAUAUCCUAGAACCCCUUGCUGGGGAAUUCAGGCACCCUGGACAACAGCCCUUUGAGCUCCACUCAAUGGCCAUUCUCUGACGCCCAGUCAAGAGAGGAGAACAUUUCAUGUUGUUCCUUCCUUUCCAAACCCAGACUCGCCGGUUACUGACCCUUUCUCUCCCAGGGAUAACUAUCACCUUCCUGCCUGUCUCACUUUGUGUCCUAGGAGCUUGACUUAACUUUCUGCCUGCCUGGGACAUGCAAGCUGACAGUCCUUUCUUUGAGUUAUCUUUGAGAAUGACUCUGGAUCUUGGAAAAGUAAUAACCUUUAUGGACACCUCUUAGGUCCAUGGAGUUGUUUAACACUACCAGAAAUGUUUAUCCCAGUUGAAAACUGACAAGAUAUUUACAAGGAUUUUUUCCCCCAGUAGUUCUGUGGUUAAAAAUUGGCCAAAUUGAAAGCUGAUAUUUGGAGCCUGAUAGGAUUUUUUUAAAGGCCUUCUUCCCAAGUUAAAAUAAAACUAUGUACCCAGAGGAAAAAAAACAAAUUAGGGAUAAUGUAAUUGGAUGGGUAGAUCAACCUAUGAUGUCAUUUAAGUUACAACCCAAUUUCUGAGGAACUGAGAGCAACUGUCCUUAUCUUGCAAAUCUUUGCAAAACGGAAAAUGCAGCUCUAAAAGCAGUUCAGAUUCCACCCAUUCCUUUUCAUCAAUCCUAAAACCUCUCCAAUUUAUCUCAAAAGACAAACAUUUCUGGGAACUCUUAUUUAGAUCAGCUCCAAUUCCUAAGACUGAAGGAAAAAUUACCCCAAAACUCCUAGGAAAAAACUUGCAUUAUUUUCUCUGUCCUUUAAGGUUGUAAAUUUUACCCUGUCUGGAAUGUAAACACCCCAGAAGAUAACAGCCCGCAAUUUCCUGAGACUACCAGGCCAGCUCAGUCAGAAAAGUCUGAAGUUUAAAAAAAAAAAAAAAAAAGGGAAAAAUGUUUCAUUUUAAAUGCAGGCUGCUGGAGAGGCUCUUUUGCCCCAAAUCUAACUCACAGCCUCCUUGUCUAAGGCAAAUAUAAAUCUUAAAAGUCUUCUCCACAAAUAUUAACCAAAAAAAAAAAAAAAAAGCCACUU